GACGAACGCUGGCGGCGUGCCUAAUACAUGCAAGUCGAGCGAAUCAAUAGGAGCUUGCUCCUGUUGGUUAGCGGCGGACGGGUGAGUAACACGUGGGCAACCUGCCUGUAAGACUGGGAUAACACCGGGAAACCGGUGCUAAUACCGGAUAAUCCUUUUCCUCUCAUGAGGAAGAGCUGAAAGUCGGUUUCGGCUGACACUUACAGAUGGGCCCGCGGCGCAUUAGCUAGUUGGUGAGGGAACGGCUCACCAAGGCGACGAUGCGUAGCCGACCUGGGAGGGUGAUCGGCCACACUGGGGCUGCGACACGGCCCAGACUCGUACGGGAGGCAGCAGUAGGGAAUCUUCCACAAUGGACGAAAGUCUGAUGGAGCAACGCCGCGUGAGCGAUGAAGGCCUUCGGGUCGUAAAGCUCUGUUGUUAGGGAAGAACAAGUAUCGGAGUAACUGCCGGUACCUUGACGGUACCUAACCAGAAAGCCACGGCUAACUACGUGCCAGCCGCCGCAGUAACAC
rnacentral:rRNA from 1 species